rnacentral:rRNA from 1 species
AGCGAACGCUGGCGGCAGGCCUAACACAUGCAAGUCGAACGAACUCUUCGGAGUUAGUGGCGGACGGGUGAGUAACACGUGGGAACGUGCCUUUUGGUUCGGAAUAACUCAGGGAAACUUGUGCUAAUACCGAAUGCGCCCUUCGGGGGAAAGAUUUAUCGCCAUUAGAGCGGCCCGCGUCUGAUUAGCUAGUUGGUGAGGUAACGGCUCACCAAGGCGACGAUCAGUAGCUGGUCUGAGAGGAUGACCAGCCACACUGGGACUGAGACACGGCCCAGACUCCUACGGGAGGCAGCAGUGGGGAAUCUUGCGCAAUGGGCGAAAGCCUGACGCAGCCAUGCCGCGUGAAUGAUGAAGGUCUUAGGAUUGUAAAAUUCUUUAACCGGGGACGAUAAUGACGGUACCCGGAGAAGAAGCCCCGGCUAACUUCGUG